UGGGGAAUUUUGGACAAUGGGCGCAAGCCUGAUCCAGCAAUGCCGCGUGCAGGAUGAAGGCCUUCGGGUUGUAAACUGCUUUUGUACGGAGCGAAAAGGUCUGCCCUAAUACGGUGGGCUCAUGACGGUACCGUAAGAAUAAGCACCAGCUAACUACGUGCCAGCAGCCGCGGUAAUACGUAGGGUGCAAGCGUUAAUCGGAAUUACUGGGCGUAAAGCGUGCGCAGGCGGUUAUGCAAGACAGAGGUGAAAUCCCCGGGCUCAACCUGGGACCUGCAUUUGUGACUGUAUAGCUAGAGUACGGUAGAGGGGGAUGGAAUUCCGCGUGUAGCAGUGAAAUGCGUAGAUAUGCGGAGGAACACCGAUGGCGAAGGCAAUCCCCUGGACCUGUACUGACGCUCAUGCACGAAAGCGUGGGGAGCAAACA
rnacentral:rRNA from 1 species